AUUGAACGCUGGCGGCAGGCCUAACACAUGCAAGUCGAACGGUAACAGGAAGACGCUUGCUUCUUUGCUGACGAGUGGCGGACGGGUGAGUAAUGUCUGGGAAACUGCCUGAUGGAGGGGGAUAACUACUGGAAACGGUAGCUAAUACCGCAUAACGUCGCAAGACCAAAGAGGGGGACCUUCGGGCCUCUUGCCAUCGGAUGUGCCCAGAUGGGAUUAGCUAGUAGGUGGGGUAACGGCUCACCUAGGCGACGAUCCCUAGCUGGUCUGAGAGGAUGACCAGCCACACUGGAACUGAGACACGGUCCAGACUCCUACGGGGGGCAGCAGUGGGGAAUAUUGCACAAUGGGCGCAAGCCUGAUGCAGCCAUGCCGCGUGUAUGAAGAAGGCCUUCGGGUUGUAAAGUACUUUCAGCGGGGAGGAAGGGAGUAAAGUUAAUACCUUUGCUCAUUGACGUUACCCGCAGAAGAAGCACCGGCUAACUCCGUG
rnacentral:rRNA from 1 species